GGUCCAGCAUGCUUUGCUCUGCACAAACCAAAACAGCUGCUGGAGCACGACAACACCACCUGAGGAAGAGGGAGCCCAGCCCCAGCUACUGGCACUUCUAGUUCUAAACCAUCAAAUACACAUUAUUCUUUUACAUUAUAACCACAACAUACAGACAUCAGGACAAGAAUACGAACUGACGAUCAAGACAAUCAACAGAGAGAAAGAAAGGCGGAUGCAACAAGUGGAGAAAGACAGAAAGAAAGAUGCUCAGAUACAGUGCCAGGAAAAGAGACCAGUCACUGUGGAUUGUCUGCGCAUGAAAGGAAGAAUUUUUGCUUGACAAAUCCCACAUCUACUGCAGGAAAAUUGAAAGAUCAUAGAGGAGAGACGGAGAGAGCCAAAUGUCA